AUUGAACGCUGGCGGCAUGCCUUACACAUGCAAGUCGAACGGCAGCACGGGUGCUUGCACCUGGUGGCGAGUGGCGAACGGGUGAGUAAUAUAUCGGAACGUACCUUAUUGUGGGGGAUAACGCAGCGAAAGCUGCGCUAAUACCGCAUAAUCCCUAAGGGGGAAAGCGGGGGACCGUAAGGCCUCGCGCAAUUAGAGCGGCCGAUACCUGAUUAGCUAGUUGGUGAGGUAAAGGCUCACCAAGGCAACGAUCAGUAGCUGGUCUGAGAGGCCGAUCAGCCACACUGGGACUGAGACACGGCCCAGACUCCUACGGGAGGCAGCAGUGGGGAAUUUUGGACAAUGGGGGCAACCCUGAUCCAGCAAUGCCGCGUGAGUGAAGAAGACCUUCGGGUUGUAAAGCUCUUUUGUCAGGGAAGAAACAGCAGCUCUAACACAGUUUGCGAAUGACGGUACCUGAAGAAUAAGCACCGGCUAACUACGUGCCAGCCGCCGCGGUAA
rnacentral:rRNA from 1 species